rnacentral:hammerhead_ribozyme from 1 species
AUUUAGUUGACGAGUCCCAAAUAAGACGUAACGCACGUCCUAGAU